ACUUGGCACAAAACCGAGCUCUACACAUUCGUUCGAGGUGGUAUUUCUUUACUGGCAUAUUAUGAAAAUGGAAAUGCACUAACGUAACGGCCGCCACACAAGUGAAACUUACAUCCAAACACCAUUCCAGCAUCUUCAGAAGAAAUCUACAAUGCUGCAGCAUGGAUCAGAAAAGGAAACCUUUGGUUUCAGAGACUCCAGUUGUGCAACCGUCAACCAGCCAGCCUUAGGGAUGCCCCAUCACUGAAUAUACUCCAAUCCCGACAAGAAGCCCACUGCUUAAGGUUCAUUUCUUCUAUAGCAUACUUUCAGUAAAGUUGCUGGUACUCCUCUGCAUACUGCUGUCUGUUCAUCUGUCUACGUACUUGUACCUGGCACUGUCCAUAUAUCUGUUAUGUAUAGUAAAAAUAUCUAUGUGUUUGUUCUAACCUAUCUUCUGAUUUCC